GAGUUUGAUCAUGGCUCAGGACGAACGCUGGCGGCACGCCUAACACAUGCAAGUCGAACGGAGAUAUUUUGGUUUACUGAGAUAUCUUAGUGGCGGACGGGUGAGUAACACGUGAGCAACCUGCCUCUGAGAGAGGGAUAGCUUCUGGAAACGGAUGGUAAUACCUCAUAACAUAACGAAGCCGCAUGACUUUGUUAUCAAAGAUUUAUCACUCAGAGAUGGGCUCGCGUCUGAUUAGAUAGUUGGUGAGGUAACGGCCCACCAAGUCRACGAUCAGUAGCCGGACUGAKAGGUUGAACGGCCACAUUGKGACUGAGACACGGCCCAGACUCCUACGGGAGGCAGCAGUGGKGAAUAUUGCRCARUGUGGGGAAAMCCUGAUGCAUYGAUGCCGCRUGGAGGAAGAAGGUUUUCGG
rnacentral:rRNA from 1 species